rnacentral:tRNA from 1 species
GCGCAGGUGGUGAAAUUGGUAUACACGCAGCGUUCAGGGCGCUGUGGGCGCAAGCCCGUGGGGGUUCAAGUCCUCUCCUGCGCA